rnacentral:lncRNA from 1 species
UCUCCUGCCUUCCCAGGCCCUGCAGAUCUCCUGACCUGACAGGAGUGCAUUGUCCCAGUUUCUAUCUCCUGUGACCAAGUGCCUCGCAGUGUCCUGGAACCUUUAGGAGAGGCCUGGAACUCCUCAAACGGAGGCCUUAAUGCCUGUGUAGAGUCACUGGGAGAAAAAUCAGACGGAAGCACCUCUCCCUGUAGAAAGUUCUUGUGCAGUGUUCCAGCCGACUAAAUGGGCUUGCCUUCUGCCGGGAGGCAGUCCUGGAGGACACAACUAAUGUGCAAUCUCCCAGGAAGCUCUUCAUCAGAACAUCCCUU